GCUGAGGGACGCGCCAGAGCCGCCCCUGCCGCUGUGGCCGCCGGAGUCGCGACCUCCCGCGCCCGUCCGAAGUCUCAGCGCUCGGGCCGCCCGUGCCUGUGCAGGGUGGCGCACAUGGCAACCCAGGCGCACUCCCUCAGCUACGCGGGGUGCAACUUCUUGCGCCAGCGUCUGGUCCUGUCCACCCUGAGCGGGCGCCCCGUCAAAAUCCGAAAGAUUCGGGCCAGAGACGACAACCCCGGCCUGAGAGAUUUUGAAGCCAGCUUCAUAAGACUACUGGACAAAAUAACUAAUGGUUCUCGAAUUGAAAUAAAUCAAACAGGAACGACCUUAUAUUAUCAGCCUGGCCUCCUGUUCGGUGGAUCAGUGGAACAUGACUGUAGUGUCCUUCGAAGUAUUGGCUAUUACCUGGAGGGUCUCCUUUGCCUGGCUCCAUUUAUGAAGCACCCGUUAAAAAUAGUUCUCCGAGGAGUGACAAAUGACCAAGUCGACCCUUCGGUUGAUGUUCUUAAGGCAACAGCACUCCCUCUAUUGAAACAAUUUGGGAUUGAUGGUGAAUCCUUUGACCUAAAGAUUGUGCGUCGAGGAAUGCCUCCAGGAGGAGGAGGUGAAGUGUUUUUCUCAUGUCCUGUCAGGAAGGUUCUGAAGCCCAUUCAGCUCACAGAUCCAGGAAAAAUCAAACGUAUCAGAGGGAUGGCAUACUCUGUACGUGUGUCACCUCAGAUGGCAAACCGGAUUGUGGAUUCUGCAAGGAGUAUCCUCAACAAGUUCAUACCCGAUAUCUACAUUUACACAGACCACAUGAAGGGAGUCAAUUCUGGGAAGUCUCCAGGCUUUGGAUUGUCACUGGUUGCUGAGACCACCAGUGGCACCUUCCUCAGUGCUGAACUGGCCUCCAACCCUCAGGGCCAGGGAGCAGCUGUGCUUCCAGAGGACCUCGGCAGGAACUGUGCCAGGCUGCUACUAGAGGAGAUCCACAGGGGUGGAUGUGUAGACUCAACCAACCAAAGUCUGGCUCUGCUGCUCAUGACCCUUGGACAACAGGAUGUUUCCAAAGUCCUGCUAGGACCAAUCUCUCCUUACACCAGUCUCACUUGCUGUGGCAACUGGGCUUUCUUUUUCCAAGAUGAUAGAGUAUUAGCUGGCUGAAAAAGAUGAAGAAGGGCAAAGUUCAUGGUAAUGCUGCUAGACUAGUCUGGAAAUUGUAGAGGAUAGAGUUUUUACGUCACUUGAAGAGCUUUUUCCAGAUUAUGUUUAAAAUUGAAACCAAACCAUGUGGUGAAGAACUCAAGGGAGGGGAUAAAAUCCUGAUGACCUGUGUUGGUGUUGGCUUCUCUAACCUUAGCAAGACCCUCAAGUGAUAUCGUCACCAGAUAAGUCCCCGAUGCCUACAUACAAAAUAGAAGCUAUCAGAGGGACUAAGUACAGAUGUAUUCUUCCAGGACAGGAUAAUCUGUAUAUUAAGGACUUUCUUAAUUUUUCAUUAAAAAUACCAUUAUACAAAUAAAAA